UGCAUCCAGAAAUCCAAACCAUUUUGCCAGACUUUCGCCCCUAGGCCGGUUCCCAGUCCAGCUCCGGAGCCACCGUGCCGAGUUCUCCCAGGCCGCACUCACCCCGGAGGAAGCCUUGGCCCCCUCGUCCUCUUCGCCCCUCCAGGCCGGCGACGUGGGGCUGACGGCCAGGUCGCAAAAAGCAGGGCCGAGCGGAGCCCGCUCCCCUCGGUCGGCGGUGGAGACCCCGGCCCAAUCCCCCGGCCGCAGCGGUACGGCG
rnacentral:lncRNA from 1 species